rnacentral:rRNA from 1 species
UGGGGAAUAUUGGACAAUGGGCGCAAGCCUGAUCCAGCCAUGCCGCGUGAGUGAUGAAGGCCCUAGGGUUGUAAAGCUCUUUCACCGGUGAAGAUAAUGACGGUAACCGGAGAAGAAGCCCCGGCUAACUUCGUGCCAGCAGCCGCGGUAAUACGAAGGGGGCUAGCGUUGUUCGGAUUUACUGGGCGUAAAGCGCACGUAGGCGGACUUUUAAGUCAGGGGUGAAAUCCCGGGGCUCAACCCCGGAACUGCCUUUGAUACUGGAAGUCUUGAGUAUGGUAGAGGUGAGUGGAAUUCCGGGUGUAGAGGUGAAAUUCAUAGAUAUUCGGAGGAACACCAGUGGCGAAGGCGGCUCACUGGACCAUUACUGACGCUGAGGUGCGAAAGCGUGGGGAGCAAACAGG